GCUCUUGGUUUAGUGGUAAAAUCAGCGCUUCCCAUGCGCUGGCCCCGAGUUCGAACCCGACUUCCCGGAGCA